UACGUAGGGGGCAAGCGUUAUCCGGAUUUACUGGGUGUAAAGGGAGCGCAGACGGCGAGGCAAGUCAGAUGUGAAAUACCGGAGCUCAACCCCGGGCUUGCAUUUGAAACUGUUUUGCUAGAGUGCCGGAGAGGUAAGCGGAAUUCCUAGUGUAGCGGUGAAAUGCGUAGAUAUUAGGAGGAACACCAGUGGCGAAGGCGGCUUACUGGACGGUAACUGACGUUGAGGCUCGAAAGCGUGGGGAGCAAAC
rnacentral:rRNA from 1 species